AUGCAUCUACGACAUUGCCUGGUGAUCAUGGGACUAAGACCGACUCUCAUCCUGCCUCUGGGCCUGAUCCUGACCUACACUGUCUGCUCAGCAUCUUGCCCUCAGCUCGGUGAGGUCCCUGAGCCCUCCUGCCCUGCUGUCACUUGGCUCCUGCUCACCUUCCCUUAUUGCGGCAGCCAGCCAUUGAUGCUCCCUGGCACAAACACAACUACCACAGCUUGAGGAGCACUUCCGUAGCAUACCUCAGCACUUCAGCACAGUGGCUUGGAUUCCCGCUUUGAGGUGGGUGUGUAGGCUGCUCUCCACCAUUGCUUCUUUGAUGGCAGAACCUUCUUCUAAUAGAAAUAUAAAAACAGCUUUCCAAAAUAAUUUCCCAGUCAUUUCUAGGUAGUCAAAGAGAUAAAAGACAGACACUGAGUUUCAUACACUGUCAGUAAAAGCCACUCCUCCCUAGUGCAAAGGCCAAGCAGAAGACAGCAGUAAACAUAUGGCUGUGUCACAAGCUGGCUCUUACCAGCAGAAUGCCAAGUGAACUUUCUG
rnacentral:lncRNA from 1 species